CCUACGGGAUGCAGCAGUGGGGAAUAUUGGGCAAUGGGCGCAAGCCUGACCCAGCAACGCCGCGUGACUGAAGAAGGCUUUCGGGUUGUAAACUUCUUUUGUCAGGGACGAAGCAAGUGACGGUACCUGACGAAUAAGCCACGGCUAACUACGUGCCAGCAGCCGCGGUAAUACGUAGGUGGCAAGCAUUAGCCGGAUUUAUUGGGUGUAAAGGGCGUGUAGGCGGGAAUGCACGUCAGAUGUGAAAACUAUGGGCUCAACCCAUAGACUGCAUUUGAAACUGGCAAACUGGAGUGUGUGAGAGGAUAGUGGAAUUCCAGGUGUAGGAGUGAAAUCCGUAGAUAUCUGGAGGAACAUCAGUGGCGAAGGCGACUAUCUGGCACAUAACUGACGCUGAGGAGCGAAAGCGUGGGUAGCAAACAGGAUUAGAUACCCGUGUAGUC
rnacentral:rRNA from 1 species